UAAACAAUAAAAUGAUUUUUAUGUACAAAAAACAUGUUUUUAAGUUGUUUGUAACAUGUAAAAUUAUGUUAUAAAUAUUUAUUUGUUAACCAAAAAAUAGUUUCUUUUAGCGUUUUCGUUAUCACUUUAGGGUCUCGACGAUUAUUAGUGGGAAGAGUUUUCUUCGUGUUUCCCUGCAAUGCUCCGCUCCAUCGUGCUCUUUCACUGAUCUGUUCAUACCUAGAUCGUUCGUCCUGAUCUGCUGCUCUAUGCUCUACCCUAGUCCUCCUCCUACAUUCAGAGCUCCUUCGUACCGCUUCGCCCCCUUUCUGCCCUAGAUCAUCUGCUCAAAUCAGUGUUAGUUAACCUUGGAAACAUAGGCUUGUCUGUUCAAGCUAUUAAAGAGUGUUUUGGGUUUUGCGAUUUCAUCUUCUUGCGUUGAUAAUAGGGCUACGAUUAACAGGGGCGAAGAAGAAGAGACGUAUAUGUUUUCUAUGUCUAAGAGGCAUAUAUGUUUUCAAUGUCUGGUGGUGCUGUGCAUCGAGGGUGAAAAGUGAGGUAGAAAAGCUUCGAGGUAAAGAAGGGAAAAAGGUGGAAAGUGCUUCAGGGGAUACUAAUUUCCAAGCUCUUAAGACAUAUAGUCGUGAUUUUGUGGAGCAAGCCUGGAAGCUUGACCCUGUAAUUGGGUGAGAUGAAGAAAUUAGGAGAGUGAUUAGGAUUUUAUCAAGAAGGACAAAGAACAAUCCUAUUCUUAUUGGUGAACCUGGUGUGGGCAAAACUGUUGUUGUUGAUGGAUUAGCUCAAAGGAUUCUAAGAAGAGAUGUCCCAAGUAAUCUUGCUGAUGUGAGAGUUAUCGCAUUGGAUAUGGGAGCUUUCAAGCCGAUACAUAACUGCACGUUUCUUGCGUGAUAAGGCUAUUGACCUUGUGGAUGAGGCAUGUGCAAAUUUUAGGGUACAACUUGAUAGUUAACCUGAAGAAAUAGACAAUCUUGAAAGGAAAAGGAUGCAAUUAGAAGUCGAGCUUCAUGCUUUGCAUGCAAUUGGAGAGAUAAGCUUCAAUUAUCAUGAUCAUGAUAUUAAUUAUCAUUUGUGAUUUAAUUUGCUUUUUAUGAUAUCUAUCAGUGCAGGUAAUUGGAGCAACAUGGUAUGUAUUGGAUAUUGAGAGCCAAUGUUCAUGUUGGAAGGAAGAAUGUGCAAAAGAGAAGAAACUUGACUAAUCCAUGAUGAGCUGGGACGUGACAUUUGGUUAUAACAAACUCAGGUACAAAGUUUUCCUUCUUUUUAUACUUCCAAAGCUGGUUUUAGGGUUUGAUAUGAUUUUGAGUAUUUGAGUCAUGAAGAUUUACCACCAAUCUACUACUGCAAGACUAAAAGAAUGGAUGGUCAAAAGAAGGGACACCGAAAAAUGGAUGACUACACUUGGUUGUAUAGAACUAGUUUUGGAAUAGAGUAUAAGGGUGUAUUGUAAUACAAUGUAUUGGAAUAUAGUAUAGCUAACUAAUGUUAAACAAGUUUUAUUUUAAGUAAUAAUAUUAUGUUUCCAUUUAUUAA